GUUCAACUACGCGUCUUGAUCAGUUCACACCUUUACACCAACGUCUGAGAAAGCAAAGCUUUGAACAAAGAAGAUCCUAAUCCAGAAAAAUGGUUCUCACACAGCUUGACCUGCACGUGAAAUCUUUUUCAAUGGAGUCACUCAUCAGCAGGAUGAAGCGAGCAUUCAGCAUGGAUGGAAAGUGGAUCUCAUUUCAGUCUCAAUCUACAAAAGCCCCUGGGUAAUUCCUUCAGUGAUUUCUGCUUUAUCUUCCCACUUCAUGAGGAAGUCGGUUCAAACCUGACCCUUCUCAAUACGUCGCUAAGUAACACUCACUGCUGCAUUACAAAGAAUGUGCGUUCGAGCAACAAAAGCCUAAGGUAAAGUUUGGCAGAGGAUCUUCAGAAACGAAGUUCAACUACGCGUCUUGAUCAGUACACACCUUUACACCAACGUCUGAGAAAGCAAAGCUUUGAACAAAGAAGAUCCUAAUCCAGAAAAAUGGUUCUCACACAGCUUGACCUGCACGUGAAAUCUUUUUCAAUGGAGUCACUCAUCAGCAGGAUGAAGCGAGCAUUCAGCAUGGAUGGAAAGUGGAUCUCAUUUCAGUCUCAAUCUACAAAAGCCCCUGGAUCUUCAGAGAAUGAGAUAAAAUCUGGCACUGACGCCAUGCCUGCAUCAGCAAUCUGCUUCACAGUCAGACCACCAGCAUGACUGUCAAUUGAAGCAGAGCCACCAGCAAGUUGGCACUUUAUGAUAGUGACGUGUGUUUGGUACAGGGAUGGAAGGAAUGGAAACACAUUCGAUCAUCGCAUGCUUGUCAUGGACUCAGUGCUGUUCCAGAAUGGGAGCACAGUAGUCAUGUGGAACCUGAGAAGGCUGCUGAAAAGAUAGAGCCGGAGUGAACACGGACAAGUUCAAGAUGGUAGAUGAGAAGAAGUGGGCACACAGCAGCCCUACUGGCUGGCAAAGUGUGUGUAUUGAGCUCAAAUUAAUAUAGGACUAACUGGGUUUGAGAAUGUUAUAUCAUGUUAUGUUUUAGAAAAUAAAGUUUAUUGAUUCAGACCUUACAUUUAGUACUUGUAUGUGGUUAGUUUAGGAAUUUCCAUCAAAGCCAUUGCUUCCCUGAUAAAACAGCAGCACAGCCAUGAUUGAAUGUUCCAGAAGAUAUAGCAUCUGUAUGACUUCACGCCAUUACGUGUGGCUCCUGCUUGAACCAUUAACUCUAUUAGCGUAUAUUCCUCAUCUGUCUCAUUAUUGCAAAAUAUGUUACUUGCUAGAGAAAACAGUUUCUGAAAAGAGUGCCAAACUACAAUUCCAUUGGUCCAACACCAUGUUGAGAAAAACAUCUUUGUGAUCUUUAACUGACGUAUAAAAGUAAAAAACUA